rnacentral:rRNA from 1 species
UACGUAGGGGUGCGAGCGUUGUCCGGAAUUAUUGGGCGUAAAGAGCUCGUAGGCGGCCUGUCGCGUCGGAUGUGAAAGCCCGGGGCUUAACCCCCGGGUCUGCAUUCGAUACGGGCAGGCUAGAGUUCGGUAGGGGAGAUCGGAAUUCCUGGUGUAGCGGUGAAAUGCGCAGAUAUCAGGGAGGAACACCGGUGGCGAAGGGCGGGUCUCUGGGCAGUAACUGACGCUGAGGAGCGAAAGCGUGGGGAGCGAACAGG